GGAGACAAUGGAAGGAGGAAGAAAGAGGGAGGGAGAAAGACCCUAGUGUCUGUCCUCAGCGGCUGCGGCCAGGGCUGGAGAGGUGUUCAUGGCCCAGGAAGGACAGAAAAGAAACCACUGCCUGAGGGUCUGGCUCAGCUCUGCAAUCCCUCCUCCCCAGCUGUGAGAAUUGGGGCCCUCUGGGAUACGCCCCCAUCAGGCGGGGAGACAACGGGGAUCCAGGCCACAUAGAGUCUAUGAUGUCUUAAGCACUGGAGGGUAUCAGUAGAGAGAAGUAUGAGAAGUAUGAGAAAGUGCUGAAGAAAUCACGGGAUGCUUCCUGGAGAAGGACAUAGCUUUGGCUUGACCCUCUGCUGCUGUGAGCUGCACUCUGUGAAAUGGGAUCAUGUUCUCAACCAGCCUCCCUGACAUGAGUUGAUUGCACCAAAACCCUAUGGAUAAAAGAGUUGUUGCCAUAGAAAAAGAGACAAGCGCGAUUUGCAGAGCAAGCUGAAGCCCCAGAGAUCUUCCCUGUCCCCACAGACCCCUGCUGUGCCCAUUUGGUCAGCCCUGCCUCGAGCCCAGUGGGAUCCCCCCGCUACGCCCCAUCCACAUUUCAAAUGACAGCAUUGUCAGGCUUUGGCUAUCUUCCCCUUCUGCAAAUGGGAAACUGAGGCUGCAAGAAGGGAAGUGACUUGCUCAAAGACACCUUGCAAUUUGGUGGCAGCCUGGAGCUCAGACCCCCUGACUCCCAUGCAGGGCCUACCACUCCAUCCCCCUCAAAACCCACAAAGAUUCCGUUCUGUUCUGUCCUCAGCCAACGCGGUGGCCCACCCACCUUGGGCGACCAGAGCCAAGAGGUUGUUUGUCUGUUUUAGACACUCUCGUCGCUGUGUUUCUUCUUUAUCUUUUAAGGGCUCGAGACUCAGGAAAACCAACUCAACGUGCAUAAUUUGGCAAUUAUUUCUUGUGUUCAUCCUCACGGCCGUGGCUGCAUACAGAUAUUGGAAUUUGCAUAAAACAAUCUUGCUACCAGU